GACGAACGCUGGCGGUGUGCUUCACACAUGCAAGUCGAACGAGGUAGCAAUACCUAGUGGCGGACGGGUGAGUAACGCGUGGGAAUCUGCCUUUAGAUGGGGGGAUAACGGGUCGAAAGACUCGCUAAUACCGCAUAUGACGAAAGUUGAAAGGAGUAAUCCGUCUAAAGAUGAGCCCGCGUCCGAUUAGCUAGUUGGUAGAGUAAAAGCCUACCAAGGCGACGAUCGGUAGCUGGUCUGAGAGGAUGAUCAGCCACAAUGGGACUAGAAGACACGGCCCAUACUCCUACGGAGGCAGCAGUGGGAAUUUUACGCAAUGGGCGAAAGCCUGACGUAGCGACACCGCGUGA
rnacentral:rRNA from 1 species